AGAGUUUGAUCCUGGCUCAGGAUGAACGCUGGCGGCGUGCCUAACACAUGCAAGUCGAGCGGAGCGCCUAUGAAGGAGAUUUCGGUCAACGGAAUAGGUUGCUUAGUGGCGGACGGGUGAGUAACGCGUGAGGAACCUGCCUUUCAGAGGGGGACAACAGUUGGAAACGACUGCUAAUACCGCAUAACACAUAGGUGUCGCAUGGCAUUUAUGUCAAAGAUUUAUCGCUGAAAGAUGGCCUCGCGUCUGAUUAGCUAGUUGGUGAGGUAACGGCUCACCAAGGCGACGAUCAGUAGCCGGACUGAGAGGUUGGCCGGCCACAUUGGGACUGAGAUACGGCCCAGACUCCUGCGGGAGGCAGCAGUAGGGAAUUUUCGUCAAUGGGCGCAAGCCUGAACGAGCGAUGCCGCGUGAGUGAAGAAGGCCUUCGGGUCGUAAAGCUCUGUUGCGGGGGAAAAAAGGCAGCAUCAGGAAAUGGGUGCUGACUGAUGGUGCCCCGCCAGAAAGUCACGGCUAACUACGUGCCAGCAGCCGCGGUAAUACGUAGGUGGCGAGCGUUAUCCGGAAUGAUUGGGCGUAAAGGGUGCGCAGGCGGUCCUGCAAGUCUGGAGUGAAACGCAUGAGCUCAACUCAUGCAUGGCUUUGGAAACUGGAGGACUGGAGAGCAGGAGAGGGCGGUGGAACUCCAUGUGUAGCGGUAAAAUGCGUAGAUAUAUGGAAGAACACCAGUGGCGAAGGCGGCCGCCUGGCCUGUUGCUGACGCUGAGGCACGAAAGCGUGGGGAGCAAAUAGGAUUAGAUACCCUAGUAGUCCACGCCGUAAACGAUGAGGACCAAGUGUUGGGGGUGAAACCUCAGUGCUGAAGUUAACGCAGUGAGUCCUCCGCCUGGGGAGUAUGCACGCAAGUGUGAAACUCAAAGGAAUUGACGGGGGCCCGCACAAGCGGUGGAGUAUGUGGUUUAAUUCGAAGCAACGCGAAGAACCUUACCAGGCCUUGACAUGGGAUGCGAAGAUGCAGAGAUGCAUCGGAGGUCAACAUCCACACAGGUGGUGCAUGGUUGUCGUCAGCUCGUGUCGUGAGAUGUUGGGUCAAGUCCCGCAACGAGCGCAACCCUUGUGGCAUGUUGCUAACAGGAAAAGCUGAGGACUCAUGCCAGACUGCCGGUGACAAACCGGAGGAAGGCGGGGAUGACGUCAAAUCAUCAUGCCCCUUAUGGCCUGGGCUACACACGUACUACAAUGGCGGCUACAAAGAGCAGCGAGACAGGGAUGUCGAGCGAAUCUCAUAAAAGCCGUCCCAGUUCGGAUUGGAGGCUGCAACCCGCCUCCAUGAAGUUGGAAUCGCUAGUAAUCGCGGAUCAGCAUGCCGCGGUGAAUACGUUCCCGGGCCUUGCACACACAGCCCGUCAA
rnacentral:rRNA from 1 species